UAAUUAAUUAGAUGUGUUGAUUUGAUUGAAGAGUUUGUCCUUAAUGACUUGAGACAUCAGGCCGUGAAUGGCUUCGAUGAGACAGCUUAAUAUUUCAUUCCAC